AGUUUGAGCUCUACGGCCGCCUGCUGUUCUCCGGUCCGCCGCUCUCCACCAGAGGGCAGCAUGGAGGCGGGAGGCAGAGGAACAGCAGCAGAAGAAGAACCAGGAAGUACAAUCAAAGCAGAUCAUAAGCAGGUGGUGCGUGAGGCUCUGAGUGAUGACAGGAAGGUGAUGACGAAGAGCUCAGCCGUUGAUUUAGUCACUCAAACUGACCAGAAGGUGGAAAAACUCAUCAUCCAGUCAGUGAAAGAGAAAUUCCCUCAGCACAGGUUCAUAGGGGAGGAGUCCGUAGCGGCAGGUGAGCCGAGCAUCCUGACGGAUGAUCCCACCUGGAUCAUCGAUCCCAUCGACGGAACGACCAACUUCGUUCACGCGUUUCCCUUCGUCGCCAUCUCCAUCGGCUUCACCAUCAACAAGAGGGUGGAGGUGGGCGUGGUCUACAGCUGCCUGGAGGACAAGAUGUUCACCGCCCGGCGGGGCGGGGGCGCGUUCUGCAACGGGGAGCCGCUGCAGGUUUCUGAUCAGACAGAUGUUCACCGUUCCAUCAUCGCCACCGAGUUCGGAUCCAACAGAGACCCAGAAGUCGUGGACAAAAUCUUCAGUAGCCUGAGGAACAUCCUGAGCCUCCCAGUGCACGGGUACUGUAGUACCUGUAGUACCUGUAGUACUACAGCUCCUUGUUGCCCCGUGUUGCCUGCAUCUCACCCUGUGUGUCUCCAGGGUGCGCGGCGCCGGCACCGCGGCCGUCAACCUGAGCCUGGUUGCGUCCGGCUGCGUGGAGGCCUACUAUGAGAUGGGGAUGCACGUCUGGGACAUUGCUGCCGGAUCAUUGCUGGUUCUGGAGGCCGGAGGAAUCGUGAUGGAUGUGGACGGUGGUGACGCAGACCUGAUGUCCAGGAGGAUCUUGGCGGCCAACAACCGCAGCGUGGCGCUGAGGCUGGUGGAGCAGAUCGCCCCCUACAGGCCGGACAGAGAUGACGCGCCGCCUGCUGCCUGUGAUUAAAUGGUCCAGCCAGAACACAGAGUCCGAGUCUUUAUUCUGCCCCAGUAGGUUCUCCCGGGUUCUGCUCACUAGAACCACCUCUGACCCGUUCUUUAGCUGCGUCCCUCCUCAAAGCAACAGAACCAGAAGAACCGACUUGUGCAUAUGUAUACUUUGUGCCCCAGACCUCAACCAGGGGGCAGCACAUGGAGCGGAGCAGGAAGAGGUGGCGGCCCGCUGCGCCUGGCGGCUCGUCUAAUGAAGCGGUGAAGCACACCUGAGUCCAGCCGGCGGCUCUGAGCCUCUCAGGGGAACCGACCCGGUUUGGAGCAGCCAGGUCCUGCUCCAAACCGGGUCGGAGACCAAGGAGCUGCUGGAAUAUUUUUUCCAGAAACUGGUCCUGAUUUGGUCCAGUUGAGAAGGACCUGGCUGCAGCAAACCGGGACCGACCGCUGGCACUCCCUUACUUGGAAAUGGGACCAUUGCACUCCGGAAGUGAAGGGGGCGCUAUUUCCUAUAUUAUCUGCGGCCUCCUGUUUCUAUUUUCUUUUGAAAUCUGUGAUAUAUCUUCACCUUUAGGAAGGAUUUUCACUCUCAGCAUGUAUUUAAACUUCUUUCUGUUAUAACUCCGUCAAGCCGAAGGGCAAUAAACAUUAACCAAAA